rnacentral:misc_RNA from 1 species
CACGAACCCGACAAACGUUAUUCGGAAUUAUUGGGCGUAAAGAGCUCGUAGGCGGUGCGGUAAGUGAGGUGUGAAAUCCCUCGGCUCAACCGAGGAAUUGCGCUUCAUACUGCCGUGCUGGAGGGAGACAGGGGUAAGCGGAACUGAUGGUGGAGCGGUGAAAUGCGUUGAUAUCAUCAGGAACACCGGUGGCGAAAGCGGCCUACUGGGUCUCUUCUGACGCUGAGGCACGAAAGCUAGGGUAGCGAACGGG